GACGAACGCUGGCGGCGUGCUUAACACAUGCAAGUCGAACGGAAAGGCCCUGCUUUUGUGGGGUGCUCGAGUGGCGAACGGGUGAGUAACACGUGAGUAACCUGCCCUUGACUUUGGGAUAACUUCAGGAAACUGGGGCUAAUACCGGAUAGGAGCUCCUGCUGCAUGGUGGGGGUUGGAAAGUUUCGGCGGUUGGGGCUGGUCUCGCGGCUUAUCAGCUUGUUGGUGGGGUAGUGGCUUACAAAGGCUUUGACGGGUAGCCGGCCUGAGAGGGUGACCGGCCACAUUGGGACAGAGAUGCGGCCCGGACGCCUACGGGAGGCAGCAGUGGGGAAUAUUGCACAAUGGGCGGAAGCCUGAUGCAGCAACGCCGGAUGCGGGAUGACGGCCUUCGGGUUGUAAACCGCUUUCGCCUGUGACGAAGCGUGAGGGACGGUAAUGGGUAAAGAAGCACCGGCUAACUACGU
rnacentral:rRNA from 1 species